rnacentral:rRNA from 1 species
UGGGGAAUUUUGGACAAUGGGCGAAAGCCUGAUCCAGCAAUGCCGCGUGUGUGAAGAAGGCCUUCGGGUUGUAAAGCACUUUUGUCCGGAAAGAAAUCCUUGGCUCUAAUACAGUCGGGGGAUGACGGUACCGGAAGAAUAAGCACCGGCUAACUACGUGCCAGCAGCCGCGGUAAUACGUAGGGUGCAAGCGUUAAUCGGAAUUACUGGGCGUAAAGCGUGCGCAGGCGGUUUGCUAAGACCGAUGUGAAAUCCCCGGGCUCAACCUGGGAACUGCAUUGGGUGACUGGCAGGCUAGAGUAUGGCAGAGGGGGGUAGAAUUCCACGUGUAGCAGUGAAAUGCGUAGAGAUGUGGAGGAAUACCGAUGGCGAAGGCAGCCCCCUGGGCCAAUACUGACGCUCAUGCACGAAAGCGUGGGGAGCAAACAGGAUUAGAUACCCUGGUAGUCCACGCCCUAAACGAUGUCAACUAGUUGUUGGGGAUUCAUUUCCUUAGUAACGUAGCUAACGCGUGAAGUUGACCGCCUGGGGAGUACGGUCGCAAGAUUAAAACUUAAAGGAAUUGACGGGGUCAUAGCUG